rnacentral:rRNA from 1 species
GACGAACGCUGGCGGCGUGCUUAACACAUGCAAGUCGAACGGAAAGGCCCUGCUUUUGUGGGGUGCUCGAGUGGCGAACGGGUGAGUAACACGUGAGUCACCUGCCCUUGACUUUGGGAUAACUUCAGGAAACUGGGGCUAAUACCGGAUAGGAGCUCCUGCUGCAUGGUGGGGGUUGGAAAGUUUCGGCGGUUGGGGAUGGACUCGCGGCUUAUCAGCUUGUUGGUGGGGUAGUGGCUUACCAAGGCUUUGACGGGUAGCCGGCCUGAGAGGGUGACCGGCCACAUUGGGACUGAGAUACGGCCCGGACUCCUACGGGAGGCAGCAGUGGGGAAUAUUGCACAAUGGGCGGAAGCCUGAUGCAGCAACGCCGCGUGCGGGAGGACGGCCUUCGGGUUGUAAACCGCUUUCGCCUGUGACGAAGCGUGAGUGACGGUAAUGGGUAAAGAAGCACCGGCUAACUACGU